rnacentral:rRNA from 1 species
GAUGAACGCUAGCUACAGGCUUAACACAUGCAAGUCGAGGGGCAUCAGGAAGAAAGCUUGCUUUCUUUGCUGGCGACCGGCGCACGGGUGAGUAACACGUAUCCAACCUGCCCUUUACUCGGGGACAGCCUUUCGAAAGAAAGAUUUAGACCGUACCGUAGUACGACUAAAUUAAGUAGUUACCGUUCCCGACUAGGUUUUCGGUUUACUUAAUUUUAAAAGGUUAAAGGUUACCGGUUUAAACC